GUGGGGAAUUUUGGACAAUGGGGGCAACCCUGAUCCAGCAAUGCCGCGUGCAGGAAGAAGGCCUUCGGGUUGUAAACUGCUUUUGUACGGAACGAAACGGUCUGGAUUAAUACCCUGGGCUAAUGACGGUACCGUAAGAAUAAGCACCGGCUAACUACGUGCCAGCAGCCGCGGUAAUACGUAGGGUGCAAGCGUUAAUCGGAAUUACUGGGCGUAAAGCGUGCGCAGGCGGUUUUGUAAGACAGGCGUGAAAUCCCCGGGCUCAACCUGGGAAUGGCGCUCGUGACUGCAAGGCUGGAGUGCGGCAGAGGGGGAUGGAAUUCCGCGUGUAGCAGUGAAAUGCGUAGAUAUGCGGAGGAACACCGAUGGCGAAGGCAAUCCCCUGGGCCUGCACUGACGCUCAUGCACGAAAGCGUGGGGAGCAAACAGGAUUAGAAACCCGAGUAGUCC
rnacentral:rRNA from 1 species